rnacentral:rRNA from 1 species
UAAGGAAUAUUGGUCAAUGGACGCAAGUCUGAACCAGCCAUGCCGCGUGGAGGAUGAAGGUCCUCUGGAUUGUAAACUUCUUUUAUCUGGGACGAAACACUUCUUUUCUAAGAGGCCUGACGGUACCAGAUGAAUAAGCACCGGCUAACUCCGUGCCAGCAGCCGCGGUAAUACGGAGGGUGCAAGCGUUAUCCGGAUUCACUGGGUUUAAAGGGUGCGUAGGUGGGUAUGUAAGUCAGUGGUGAAAUCCCCGAGCUUAACUUGGGAACUGCCAUUGAUACUAUCUAUCUUGAAUACCGUAGAGGUAAGCGGAAUAUGUCAUGUAGCGGUGAAAUGCUUAGAUAUGACAUGGAACACCAAUUGCGAAGGCAGCUUACUAUGCGGUGAUUGACACUGAGGCACGAAAGCGUGGGUAGCAAACA